rnacentral:rRNA from 1 species
UACGUAGGGUGCAAGCGUUGUCCGGAAUUAUUGGGCGUAAAGAGCUCGUAGGCGGUUUGUCGCGUCUGCUGUGAAAAACUCGGGGGCUCAACUCCGAGCUUGCAGUGGGUACGGGCAGACUAGAGUGCGGUAGGGGAGACUGGAAUUCCUGGUGUAGCGGUGGAAUGCGCAGAUAUCAGGAGGAACACCGGUGGCGAAGGCGGGUCUCUGGGACGGUACUGACGCUGAGACGCGAAAGCGUGGGGGAGCGAAACAGG